UGUAGCUCAGUAGUAGAGUGCUUGCCUGGCACACAAGAGGCCCUGGAUUCAAUCUCUAGUA
rnacentral:tRNA from 1 species